rnacentral:rRNA from 1 species
AUUGAACGCUGGCGGCAGGCCUAACACAUGCAAGUCGAACGAGUGGCGGACGGGUGAGUAAUGUCUUGGAACUGACUGAUGGCGGGGGAUAACUACUGGAAACGGUAGCUAAUACCGCAUACUAUCGGAUGACCCAUCUGGGAUUAGCUAGUCGGUGGGGUAAUGGCUCACCUAGGCGACGAUCCCUAGCUGAUCUGAGAUGAUGAUUAGCCGCACUGGGACUGAGACACGGACCAGAAACCUACGGAGGAAGAAGUGGGGACUAUUGCACAUUGGGCGAAAGCCUGAUGUCGCCCUGCCGCGUGUAUGAAGAAGGCCCUAGGGUUGUAAAGCACUUUCAGUAGGGAGGCGUUACCGACAGAAGAAGCACCGGGUAACUCCGUGCCAGCAGCCGCGGUAAUUC